rnacentral:rRNA from 1 species
GAUGAACGCUAGCGGCAGGCUUAAUACAUGCGAGUCGAGGGGCAGCAUGAUUGUAGCAAUACAAUUGAUGGCGACCGGCAAACGGGUGCGGAACACGUACACAACCUCCCAAUAAGUGGGGAAUAGCCCAGAGAAAUUUGGAUUAAUACCCCGUAAUAUAACGAUGUGGCAUCACAUUGUUAUUAUAGAUUUUUCGCUUAUUGAUGGGUGUGCGGCUGAUUAGAUAGUUGGCGGGGUAACGGCCCACCAAGUCUACGAUCAGUAGCUGAUGUGAGAGCAUGAUCAGCCACACGGGCACGGAGACACGGGCCCGACUCCUACGGGAGGCAGCAGUAAGGAAUAUUGGACAAUGGACGCAAGUCUGAUCCAGCCAUGCCGCGUGAAGGAUUAAGGUCCUCUGGAUUGUAAACUUCUUUUGUAAGGGACGAAAAAAGGCUUUUCUAAGUCGUCUGACGGUACCUUAUGAAUAAGCACCGGCUAACUCCGUGCCAGCCGCCGCCGUAACAC